rnacentral:rRNA from 1 species
AACGAACGCUGGCGGCAGGCUUAACACAUGCAAGUCGAACGCCCCGCAAGGGGAGUGGCAGACGGGUGAGUAACGCGUGGGAACAUACCCUUUUCUACGGAAUAGCUCUGGGAAACUGGAAUUAAUACCGUAUACGCCCUACGGGGGAAAGAUUUAUCGGGGAAGGAUUGGCCCGCGUUGGAUUAGCUAGUUGGUGGGGUAAAGGCCUACCAAGGCGACGAUCCAUAGCUGGUCUGAGAGGAUGAUCAGCCACAUUGGGACUGAGACACGGCCCAAACUCCUACGGGAGGCAGCAGUGGGGAAUAUUGGACAAUGGGCGCAAGCCUGAUCCAGCCAUGCCGCGUGAGUGAUGAAGGCCUUAGGGUUGUAAAGCUCUUUCACCGAUGAAGAUAUUGACGGUAGUCGGAGAAGAAGCCCCGGCUAACUUCGUG